rnacentral:rRNA from 1 species
UAGUCUGGUGCCAGCAGCCGCGGUAAUACGGGAGUGGCAAGCGUUAUCCGGAAUUAUUGGGCGUAAAGCGUCCGCAGGCGGCUUUUCAAGUCUGCUGUUAAAGCGUGGAGCUUAACUCCAUCAUGGCAGUGGAAACUGAAAGGCUUGAGUAUGGUAGGGGCAGAGGGAAUUCCCGGUGUAGCGGUGAAAUGCGUAGAUAUCGGGAAGAACACCAGUGGCGAAGGCGCUCUGCUGGGCCAUUACUGACGCUCAUGGACGAAAGCCAGGGGAGCGAAAGGGAUUAGAUACCCCUGUAGUCCUGGCCGUAAACGAUGAACACUAGGUGUCGGGGGAAUCGACCCCUUCGGUGUCGUAGCUAACGCGUUAAGUGUUCCGCCUGGGGAGUACGCACGCAAGUGUGAAACUCAAAGGAAUUGACGGGGGCCCGCACAAGCGGUGGAGUAUGUGGUUUAAUUCGAUGCAACGCGAAGAACCUUACCAGGGUUUGACAUCCUGCGAACCUCUUAGAAAUUUGAGGGUGCCUUCGGGAAUGCAGUGACAGGUGGUGCAUGGCCGUUCUU